rnacentral:lncRNA from 1 species
AACAUGUGACACGUUUAUAAAAUAAACGCAGUGUUUUAGAUUUAAACACUAUGUGACAAAAUUAAACACAUCAUGUGUUUUUAAACAAAACAGUUAGCGUUUAAUGUCAACAGUGCUAUAGGGUGUUUAUUAUGAGAUCGGUUUUAGAAAAUGGUUUACCUGUUCAAUUUCACUAGUUAGCAUUUUGUUUAUUCCCAAAGAAUAACACUUUGUUUAAAAAAGGCUUAUUAACUAAUUAGGACACUAAUAAUAACUCAAGUUAUUAAUUUAGCUGUUUGUGUUCAACACCUAAUAAACACGGUACACGUCACGAUGUUUAAAUAUGACCACGUGAUGUUAGGUCUUAACCAAUAGGAUUCAAUCUGAUUGCGUGCUGGCGCGGCAUAAUCGGGCCAGUUAAUUACGCGGCACAAAGACAACCGCCAUUUUUCUGACAAUAAUCUGGGCACACUAAUAGAAUAAUGUAAUGGCGAGAAUUAUUAUCGUCAUUCGUGGUAACAAAAUUUGCACGGGUAAUGAAACAAUAUACAUGUAUGAUGUAGUCUCACAGAAGGCACUAACAGUUGGUCAUGACCUAGGCUAGAGGUCAAGUUUGGUAUGCAUAUUGCCAAGUCAGCAAGAGUGCAUGUUCUCAGAUGCAACGUAUUCUGUGCAUGCAGUACGACGGUUGUAGUUUGAACCAGUUCUGGAAGCUCCCACACAGGUGGGUGUGUCUAAUCCCUUGCAGAUGAAGGAAGCUAUUGACUUUUAAAAUAAAGGUCCUCUGUAGACGCUCGAUGUAAUUGCAUACAUGUACGUUCAGCAGAACACCAAGUUUGAACGCGGCGAGGGUACGAAGACGAGGAGAGUGCUAACUAUUCAUGAGAAUGCUGCUGAACCAGACAGAGUAUCUGCAUCAAAACUACAGUUUACAUUACAUGUGGAGACACCAUCAAGAAAGUCUCGAACUACAACACGUACAAUGAUGCGCCUCUUCUCCAGCUUGGGAAACUAUGCCUUUAAUUUGGAUUGUCCAAAGUAUUUUCACGUGCUUUGAGUUCUUUUCAAAAAAUCAUAAUUAGAGAAAAGUUGCUGGCAGAUUCCAGCAAAUUGAUGCAGUUCACUACAAGGUAUUUGUGUAUAAAUUAAUUAGAUAUAUUGUUGAAAUCUCAGCUAAAGAUCAAUACUUAUUUUACCACUUCAAACUAUAACGCAAACCUUCAUAGGUUUUAAAAAACAAGUAUAAUUCAUUUGCAGUUUUACUUCUAACUCUCAUUGAAUUGGAAAAUAAUUGAUUUUAGCCCUAUUUCCAGAUAUAUUCAUUUACUUUUAAUUCACCCUUUUUGUGUUUGUUUAUGUUUUUGUUUCUUUGUUUUGAUACUUGUGAAAAAUGUAAUUGGCCUUAAUGUUGGGGUCUUAAAAAAAGGAUUGUUGGAAACAUACUGAUAGGCAUGUGGCAUAUUCACAUAAAUGUCACAUUAUUUUUGCUGUCGUGAUGUACAAUAUUCUCUAGGGGUGACCAUAAAAAUGCAUUUGUAUUUUAUUGUUGUCAUUUUCAUGAUUCGAUAGAACUGAAUAGGCCUUUCACCACAAUCCUAUAGGUGAAAAUGAAGACAGCUUUGUGAAGUGCCCUAAAUGCGUUUAUUUCAAUGUUGUUAAUAUUGUGACUGAAGUUUUACUUGCAAUUUUGAAUACUGUUCGAAAACUAAACACAC